rnacentral:rRNA from 1 species
CCCUUAGAUGUCCGGGGCUGCACGCGCGCUACACUGAAGGAAUCAGCGUGCUAAAACCAUUGUCGAAAGGCAUUGGUAAACCCAUUAAAAUCCUACGUGAUUGGGAUCGGGAAUUGCAAUUAUUUCCCUUGAACGAGGAAUUCCCAGUAAGUGUGGGUCAUAAGCUCGCGUUGAUUACGUCCCUGUCCUUUGUACACACCGCCCGUCGCUGCCCGGGACUGAGCCGUUUCGAGAAAAGCGGGGACUGCUGCUGUCGGGGCUUUCGGGCCUUGGCUUCGGUGGAAACCGCUUUAAUCGCAGUGGCUUGAACCGGGCAAAANUCGUAACA